rnacentral:sRNA from 1 species
UUCAUUUUUGAAUUAAUACUCACGUCUAUCGUCACGUUUGGUAGGGUGCCGGCGCCGCCUGAUUCUCAUAGAAUCGUUGUAAACCGGUUACCAGACGGGAUGGGCGGAGGCGCAAC